UUAAAGUUUUAUUCUAGCUUAAAGGAUUAAUUUAUAGAUUAUUUUAUAUGUAAAUUUUAGUAUGGAAAUUUUAUGAUUUAAAUAGUUAUAAAAAUAUUAUAUUCGCAGUAAUAAAUAUUAAAUAUUAAUAAAAAUUAGAUUUAAAAAUUUAUAAUAGUAUUAACAAAAUUUGUGCCAGCAGUUGCGGUUAUACAGAUAAUAUAAUUAAUUUUUUUUAGCUUAUAAUUAAUUGGUUAAUUAAAAUACAUAAAGAAAUUUAUUAAGUGAAAUUUUAAAUUUUUAAAAAAUUUUAUAUUAAAUUUUGAGGUUAUUAAAUUUAGAAUUAAACUAGGAUUAGAUACCCUAUUAUUAUAAAUGUAAAAAUAAAAGCUUAAUUAUUAAUAGUUAUGUUCUUAAAAAUUAAAGAAUUUGGCGGUAUUUUAGUCUAUUUAGAGGAACCUGUCCUAUAAUUGAUAAUCCACGAUUUAUUGUACUUAAUUUUUAGUUUGUAUAUCGUCGUAGGUUGAAUAUUUUUAUAGAAAUUAAAUAUUCAAGAUUUUUAAUAAAAAAAAAAAUCAGAUCAAGGUGCAGCUUGUAGUUAAGAAGAGAUGGGUUACAAUAAAUUAAUUUAGAUGGUGAAUUAUUUGAAAAAUAAUUUUUAAAGUGGAUUUAAAAGUAAUAAGAUUAAAUUUAAUUUUAUGAUUUUAGCUCUAGAAUAUGCACAUAUCGCCCGUCGCUCUCAAAUAAAUUGAGAUAAGUCGUAACAUAGUAGAUGUACUGGAAAGUGUAUCUAGUUAGAC
rnacentral:ncRNA from 1 species